AAACUAAGCCAGGCAGAUGGACUGAAUGAAAGAAGGAAACAAAGUAGUGGAGAAAGGUUGGCAGAGGGAACACAGGCAGUCAACCUAAUCUCUGCAUAUACAACAAAUCUGGUAAGAGACAAAAAAAACUGCAGAUGCUGGAAUCCAAGGAAGACAGUCAGGAGGCUGGAAGAACACAGCAAGCCAGGCAACAUUAGGAGGUGGAGGUACAACCCUUCUUCAGGAGUGAAGGGAAAAGUGCAAAAUGCGUCUGCAGGGAUGGCGUGAUGUUCUUGAGGAGUUGUCAGCCCUUCAUGAUCUUUGUUGUCCACAAGAGAUCACAGUCCAGUCUGUUUUGACAUGCAACUUGCCCCUUUGUUGUUUGAAGUUUCUUUUGCAUCUUCAAGUGGGGCAUU